CUACAACAAACUUCAAACAUUCAAAUUAUCUGAAUUAAAACUAGAGGUACAUUUGAUUUGUGUAUGGUGCUCGGGUUGUUCUUUCUUGAAAAGAGAGUACGAUUCAACACAAGUGCAACUUUGUUUUUCUUGAUGGAAUUAAAACCGAAAGGUAAAGUGACACAUUUUUUAUGGCACUCUUCGUUAUCUCAUCAAAAAAACCAAAAUUACCUUCAUAUUCAAUCGAGGUUAAACAUGUUUUUCCUUCUUUUGACACCACUUUUUAUCUGUUCAAUUAUUCUUACAUCACAAAAAUUGUUAUCAGAAAAUUGCGAAACCUAUAAAAAUACUAAUGUACAUAAAUUGAUUAAUUGA